UGGAGCCUCAGCUUCAGGAUCUGUCCUUCCAGUGAGCAUCUUCUUAAGUCCCUGCAAAUAAAAUUCUUCCAACUACUGGUGUCACCACUGAUUAGCAGCAUUAGUUGCCUCCAGAACACUACCAAAUCAUUGUCCCAUUAGGUGCUUUUUGAGUUUGGGGCACAGAUGAUAGUCAGAAGGAGCCAGGUCGGGAGCUAGGGACAUUUUCUCUUCUGAGGAGGACCUUUCAGGGGAGGGUGGGUGGGAGGGUUGUGUUAUUCUCAUGGUCACAUCUGGGAAAAACCAGGGAGCUGGACAGUCCUUUGUGAUCUCUCACCUUGUGAAACAAGGUGUGAUGUAACAAUAGGUCCAGCUUUAAAAGGGCGGAGCUGAGAUAUUUUUUUUAUUCCUUCCGUUGAGAACAAGAGGUGAACUCCAGCCGUAUUAAAAUGGACAACUUCAGAGAGCAAAGGAAUGAAUAUCUUCAGCCAUUAAAUGAGGACGUUGUUUCUAUAGCGACAAACAGCCGCCGCGGCCGCCGCCACAGAGCAGAGUUUAGAACAGUGAUAUUUCAGUUUUUCCAAGGGGCCAGAUUUUGCAGUACUGUCCCAAAAACUAAAGAAUAAGUUGUCGUUUAAGACCUAGGCGGAGGUAGAAGAACAAUCACCCUGUGCAAGAUAUGGCGCAGACACCACCAGCCGCUUGACAUGAACAGCAUCAGUAGCAGAAAGGAAAAAUCCCCCAUUUCCAGCGAAUUGCAAGACGGUCUUGCCCUGGUCUUGGCUUUGGGCAGCUCAGGUUGAGAAGCCUAUUUGGAAGGAGGGACCAAGUAGGAGAGGAGAGACCGAGGAAUCUAUGGCAGAGGCUGCCCUGCUUCCAGUUGUCAGGAUUAGCAGGGAACCUUCAGGAACACCACCAGGAUGGCGGAGCAUCUUCUUUGGGGGCAGUUAGAGGAGGACCCAAGCAGAGACCAUCUACUUUCCAUCGUGGAGGUGUUUGGGGAGCUCUUCCCAGAAGAAGAGAAAACAGCCUUCUUGGAGACUGCCCUGCAGGGAGACCCUCCCAGCCGUCAAACUGUGGAUGAUUGACCGGUUCAUGAGCAGGAAGAGACCACAGGUCCUAGGAUUCCCCCUUUAGUCUACAGGAGGGGAAGGCAAGACCAUCUCCUGGC
rnacentral:lncRNA from 1 species